rnacentral:rRNA from 1 species
CGUAGGUGGCAAGCGUUGUCCGGAAUUACUGGGUGUAAAGGGCGUGUAGGCGGGGAUGCAAGUCAGAUGUGAAAUUCCGGGGCUCAACCUCGGAGCUGCAUCUGAAACUGUAUCUCUUGAGUACUGGAGAGGAAAGUGGAAUUCCUAGUGUAGCGGUGAAAUGCGUAGAGAUUAGGAGGAACACCAGUGGCGAAGGCGGCUUUUCUGGACAGUAACUGACGCUGAGGCGCGAAAAGCGUGGGAGCAAACAGGAUU